rnacentral:rRNA from 1 species
GCGGAAUGCUUUACACAUGCAAGUCGAACGGCAGCACGGACUUCGGUCUGGUGGCGAGUGGCGGACGGGUGAGUAAUGCGUAGGAAGCUACCCGAUAGAGGGGGAUACCAGUUGGAAACGACUGUUAAUACCGCAUAAUGUCUACGGACCAAAGUGUGGGACCCUCGGGCCACAUGCUAUCGGAUGUGCCUACGUGGGAUUAGCUAGUUGGUGAGGUAAUGGCUCACCAAGGCGACGAUCCCUAGCUGGUUUGAGAGGAUGAUCAGCCACACUGGAACUGAGACACGGUCCAGACUCCUACGGGAGGCAGCAGUGGGGAAUAUUGGACAAUGGGCGCAAGCCUGAUCCAGCCAUGCCGCGUGUGUGAAGAAGGCCUUCGGGUUGUAAAGCACUUUCAGUAAGGAGGAAGCGUUGAGUGUUAAUAGUACUCAGCGUUGACGUUACUUACAGAAGAAGAAGCACCGGCUAACUCUGUGCCAGCAGCCGCGGUAAAAC